rnacentral:rRNA from 1 species
CGCCUGUUUAUCAAAAACAUGUCCUUUUGGUGUUUAUAUAAGGUUUGGCCUGCCCCAUGAUUUGAUUUUAAUGGCCGCGGUAUUUUAACUGUGCUAAGGUAGCAUAAUCACUUGUCUUUUAAUUGGAGGCUAGAAUGAAGGGUUGGACGAGAUAUUAACUUUCUUUGGUUUAUUUAUUGAAUUUGAUUUUUGAGUGAAAAAGCUCAAGUUUUUUUAGGGGACGAGAAGACCCUAUAGAUCUUUACAUUUAUUUAAUUAUAGUUUUUAGAAAUAAAUGACUGAUUAUAAUUGAUAGGGUGUUUGAUUGGGGCGAUUGUAGAAUUAUUAUAACUUCUAAUUUAAGUUUCAUUAAUUAGUGUUUAAUUGAUCCAUUUAUGGUGAUUAUAAGACUAAGUUACCUUAGGGAUAACAGCGUAAUUUUUCCGGGGAGUUCAUAUUAAUGGAAGAGUUUGCGACCUCGAUGUUGGAUUAAAAUAAGUUCUGGGUGUAGCAGUUUAUGGACUAGGUCUGUUCGACCUUUUAAUUUUUACAUGAUCUGAGUUCAAACCGGAG